rnacentral:rRNA from 1 species
AUUGAACGCUGGCGGCAUGCUUUACACAUGCAAGUCGAACGGCAGCGCGGGCUUCGGCCUGGCGGCGAGUGGCGAACGGGUGAGUAAUGCAUCGGAACGUGCCCAGUAGUGGGGGAUAGCCCGGCGAAAGCCGGAUUAAUACCGCAUACGACCUGAGGGUGAAAGCGGGGGACCGAAAGGCCUCGCGCUAUUGGAGCGGCCGAUGUCGGAUUAGCGAGUUGGUGGGGUAAAGGCUUACCAAGGCGACGAUCCGUAGCUGGUCUGAGAGGACGACCAGCCACACUGGGACUGAGACACGGCCCAGACUCCUACGGGAGGCAGCAGUGGGGAAUUUUGGACAAUGGGGGCAACCCUGAUCCAGCCAUGCCGCGUGCGGGAAGAAGGCCUUCGGGUUGUAAACCGCUUUUGUUCGGGAAGAAAUCCUCUGGGCUAAUACCCCGGGGGGAUGACGGUACCGGAAGAAUAAGCACCGGCUAACUACGUG